CCCAGACUCCUACGGGAGGCAGCAGUGGGGAAUAUUGCACAAUGGGGGAAACCCUGAUGCAGCGACGCCGCGUGAGUGAAGAAGUAUUUCGGUAUGUAAAGCUCUAUCAGCAGGGAAGAAAAUGACGGUACCUGAUUAAGAAGCCCCGGCUAACUACGUGCCAGCAGCCGCGGUAAUACGUAGGGGGCAAGCGUUAUCCGGAUUUACUGGGUGUAAAGGGAGCGUAGACGGUGAUCCAAGUCAGAAGUGAAAGCCCGGGGCUCAACUCCGGGACUGCUUUUGAAACUGUGUGACUGGAGUGCAGGAGAGGUAAGCGGAAUUCCUGGUGUAGCGGUGAAAUGCGUAGAUAUCAGGAGGAACACCAGUGGCGAAGGCGGCUUACUGGACUGUAACUGACGUUGAGGCUCGAAAGCGUGGGGAGCAAACAGGAUUAGAUACCCGCGUA
rnacentral:rRNA from 1 species